rnacentral:rRNA from 1 species
UACAGAGGGGGCAAGCGUUGUUCGGAAUUACUGGGCGUAAAGGGCGCGCAGGCGGCUUGGCAAGUCGAGUGUGAAAUACCUCAGCUUAACUGAGGAACGGCGCUCGAAACUACCUCGCUUGAGGGCGGGAGAGGGAAGUGGAGCUCUCGGUGUAGGGGUGAAAUCUGUAGAUAUCGAGAGGAACACCGGUGGCGAAGGCGGCUUCCUGGCCCGUACCUGACGCUGAGGCGCGAAAGCGUGGGGAGCAAACAGG